ACGUAGGACGCAAGCGUUAUCCGGAAUUACUGGGCGUAAAGGGCGUGUAGGCGGCACGGUAAGUCAACCGUGAAAGCUCCCGGCUAAACUGGGAGAGGUCGGAUGAGACUGCCGAGCUAGAGGGUCGUAGAGGGGUGUGGAAUUCCGGGUGUAGUGGUGAAAUGCGUAGAGAUCCGGAGGAACCCCGGUGGCGAAGGCGACUUGCUGGGCCUGAACUGACGCUCAGACGCGAAAGCAUGGGGAGCGAACGG
rnacentral:rRNA from 1 species